rnacentral:rRNA from 1 species
UACGAAGGGGGCUAGCGUUGCUCGGAAUCACUGGGCGUAAAGGGUGCGUAGGCGGGUCUUUAAGUCAGGGGUGAAAUCCUGGAGCUCAACUCCAGAACUGCCUUUGAUACUGAAGAUCUUGAGUUCGGGAGAGGUGAGUGGAACUGCGAGUGUAGAGGUGAAAUUCGUAGAUAUUCGCAAAGAACACCAGUGGCGAAGGCGGCUCACUGGCCCGAUACUGACGCUGAGGCACGAAAGCGUGGGGAGCAAACAGG